rnacentral:rRNA from 1 species
CACGUAGGCGGCUCUUUAAGUCAGGGUGAAAUCCUGGAGCUCAACUCCAGAACUGCCCUUGAUACUGAGGAGCUUGAGUCCGGGAGAGGUGAGUGGAACUGCGAGUGUAGAGGUGAAAUUCGUAGAUAUUCGCAAGAACACCAGUGGCGAAGGCGGCUCACUGGCCCGGUACUGACGCUGAGGUGCGAAAGCGUGGGGAGCAAACA